GCCAAUUUGACGAUACCUUCCCGUGGAAGAAAGUGAAGUGCCCACGUCAGCCCAACAAGAGCUCCCAUUGUGGAUAUUGCGUGAUGAAAUUUAUGAAGGAGAUAAUUCUGCACAAUGCUGACUCAAUUCCCACGCAGUACUUUGCCGACACAUAUUGCACAGU